rnacentral:tRNA from 1 species
GCGCCCAUAGCCCAAUUGGAUAGAGCGUCAGACUACGGAUCUGAAGGUUGGGAGUUCGAGUCUUCCUGGGCGCGCCA